rnacentral:rRNA from 1 species
AACGAACGCUGGCGGCAUGCCUAACACAUGCAAGUCGAACGAUGCUUUCGGGCAUAGUGGCGCACGGGUGCGUAACGCGUGGGAAUCUGCCCUUGGGUUCGGAAUAACAGUUAGAAAUGACUGCUAAUACCGGAUGAUGACGUAAGUCCAAAGAUUUAUCGCCCAGGGAUGAGCCCGCGUAGGAUUAGGUAGUUGGUGGGGUAAAGGCCUACCAAGCCGACGAUCCUUAGCUGGUCUGAGAGGAUGAUCAGCCACACUGGGACUGAGACACGGCCCAGACUCCUACGGGAGGCAGCAGUGGGGAAUAUUGGACAAUGGGCGAAAGCCUGAUCCAGCAAUGCCGCGUGAGUGAUGAAGGCCUUAGGGUUGUAAAGCUCUUUUACCCGGGAAGAUAAUGACUGUACCGGGAGAAUAAGCCCCGGCUAACUCCGUGCCAGCAGCCGCAGUAA